AUGUACACACCCGAACCAAAGGGCUAUGGUGACAGAGACCAAGAAAAGCAGAGAUGGGACUCUGCGGCGGCCACAGCGCAGACCAGACUUCGCUUGCUCGCAGCUCGCUCCGCGCCCUCCGCAACAAUGUCUGACAAGCCCAAUAUGGCUGAGAUUGAGAAGUUCGAUAAGUCAAAAUUGAAGAAAACGGAAACGUAAGAGAAAAACCCACUGCCUUCGAAAGAAACGAUUGAACAGGAGAAGCAAGCAGGCGAGUCGUAAUGAAGCGUGCGCCGCCAGUAUGCACUGUACAUUCCACAGGCAUUGCCUUCUUAUUUUACUUCUUUUAGCUGUUUAACUUUGUAAGAUGCAAAGAGGUUGGAUCGAGUUUAAAUGACUGUGCUACCCCUUUUCACAUCAAAGAAUGGAGAACUACUGACAACAUAGGCCGCGCCUGCCUCUCCCAUCUGCCUAUGUGGCUGGCAGGGAAGGAAAAGAACUUGCAUGUUGGUGAAGGAGGAAGCUGGGUGGGACGACAGUGAAAUCUAGAGUUAAAAAGCUGGUCCAAGGUGUUCUGCGGGCUGUAAAAUGCAGUUUAAUCAGAGUGCCAUUUUUUUUGUUGUUGUUCAAAUGGUUUUAAUUAUUGGAAUGCACAAUUUUUUUAAUAUGCAAAUAAAAAGUUUUAAAACCUGAAAAAAAAA